ACGCUCGACACCUACUGGAGGCAGCAGUGGGGAAUAUUGCACAAUGGGGGAAACCCUGAUGCAGCGACGCCGCGUGAGUGAAGAAGUAUUUCGGUAUGUAAAGCUCUAUCAGCAGGGAAGAAGAUGACGGUACCUGAGUAAGAAGCCCCGGCUAACUACGUGCCAGCAGCCGUGGUAAUCUGAGCGGGCUGGCAAGGC
rnacentral:rRNA from 1 species